GCUAGGGAAGGGGUGGGCUUGGUGAGACCCCAGGAAACAGGCUGAAGGAAAGAGCUGGAGAAGUUGGAGCUGCAGAUGUGCAAGUCGGAGCUCCAGCAGCCAGACUGUGACUUGAGGAUAGACACCACACACCAAGUGCGUUGAAGCAGGGAGAGAGGAGGAUCUGGGGUCCAUGCGACCUGUGGAGAUGCUGUUGGGGCAAAGCCUGCCGAUAUCACCGACAUCAGGAAUGAGAGAUGAUUCUGCUACAGAGUUCACAGAUAUU